AGCUCAGCAAAAUCAGGAUAUAAACAGGAAAUCGCUCUCUUCUCUGUGGAGACGCCGAGCAGUCGCCAUGUAGCAGGCAAAGGAGUUGCAUGUCCGACAUUCUCUGCUGUCUCCAUGGGAUGAAGAUUUUCUGCCUGUGUGCCAGAGCCCCACCUUUAGGAGUCACUUAAAUAUGCAGAUUGGAUGAUUACAGGCAGGCGUUGUCACCGACAUUGACAGGUGCUACAAGGCGUUAAGUGAUUUUGGCGUUAACCCGAACGGCUAAGGAUUUAAGCAAAGAGGUUUAAGAACAGUAACCAGUGACGGAGUGUUGUCAAGACGCAGUCUAAAAGCCAAGUCUACCCCACUGGAGAUUUUGUAAGGACAGCUGUAUGGGAACACCACUAAGCCCAUUCGUUUAUGCAAUGCCCGUAACCGAUAGGCGCCGUUUAGUGACCGUGCCAGACAGCAAAUGAGCCGAAGGACCGGAAAUAGACCGCCGAUCGGGCGCUUUCCAGAAGAGCAUUGCCAACCUGAGUCCGGUGACCUAACCACUUCACCAGGAGUCAGCACGGAUGACAGCAGAAAUGUUUGACCUUGAGGGAGCCUCAUAGUCACCAGUCAAAAGGCUCAAGGAAGCACCAUUGAGUGAUUGAGUGCCAGACUUGGGGUUGAGGGAGGAAUCUAAAGACGCACACUUGAACAAGGUCCUCGAUGACGCCGAUGUCCUCGUCUGGGAUAUCAGUAGGUCGUGAGCUGGGUAUGGAGACACCAACCGAGGGAAGCCCAAGUUGCUGGGCUCUGUUUUCGCUGCAAUGAUAAACGACACACUUGUUGAGGGCAUAGGUAACUGUUUAUUGUAGAAAUUACUCACAAGAGAAACCGGGCAACCCAGAUGAGUCAAGUAGCCCUCCCCUCAUCGAACCGGAAGCCGAAAAGAGGGCAUGAGGCUCUGCCGCUUGGUCUUUUAUUCCUUCCUCAGUACACGCCUCAGCCACGCCCAAAAGUGGGCCUGGCUAGUGACGUAGUUCCCCGCCCUGUCUCUAGUCAUGCCCACAGUGGGUGUGGUUAGCCCUGCGGUUCCACCCUUUGGUUACCACCUCCGUAUGCAUCUCUAGAUCACCGUGUGGCUGAUGGCCGAGUCUUAAGUUCCCCCUACACUCCGCUCUGGUUUUCUAGCUGAGGGAUGAUGUUACAGACUAGGUUGCUCUGUUAGAGGGAGGACACUGGCCUCCGUACGCCUUGCCAACCGUGCCGCAAGACACGUUCCCUCAGCCUCCAAGGAGCUCAGUGGGGUCUCGAGCCGGUAAACUUCCACCCUGAGUGUCCUCCUUCGGGCCCAGAGGCCUUCUGAACCCUAUCGUUAUCUGUGGAUUCUGAUACAAAACUUGGAAGCAUGGGAUGCAAAGACCAACUCAGACACAGCUGUUCUGCUUAAGUCUCUCUUGUGGCUCAAACAUUCCAGGCCCAUGUCUUGUGAGAAACACCUCCAUGCCCGUCACUGUCCACUGGGUACGGCAGUUCCGUCUCACCCUGUAGGCGAGGUGCUUGCUUCCUGCCUGAUGAGCUAGAUUCUACUCCUGUCACCCUCCCCAGCCGCUUGGGUCCUCACCGUGACAGGAGUAGAUGGACAGCUGCUAAGUACGCAGACUUGAGGCUCCUCUGGUCUCCCAGCAUCUGCUUGGUACUUCCUGAUUUCUGGAGCCUGCGCAGGCUUUAUUUUCUUCUGCUCUUCAACGCAGCGGACAUACUCCCCAAAAGUGAUGCGGCUUAGCCGGAGCGGCCGUUCCUCACCUCCUUCUGCAGAGAGGAAACGCAGACAGCUGUAAGAAAGACAAAUCUCUCCAGCCUCGGGGAUGGCGCCUGGCAUGCUGCACCUUCACAGACGAUUACACGGAGUCAAGGCUGUGCUAAAUCAGCUCCAUGGUUAUCCCGUGCCGUUUAGAUGUGCUGACUACUUAGCAGCCCGAGCCAAUUGAAGGAAACUUGCUUCACACUUACUCUUUGGAAGGCUGACUGAGGGCAGAGCUUCCUGUUUCCUGCUCCGAGAGCCAUAAGAUCGCGAGAUCACACCAUAGCGAUGAAGUCAUUGUGGUUCUCCAACAUAACUGUCAACGAAGACACUGAUGACGCGGCGUCACGUGGCAUCUGUGGGCCAUGAUGGCUGACGAGCGGAAAUUCAUUCACCAAGAAGAUAGACCCUAGAGGUGCAAUCAUGGGGGUCUUGCUGAACGAAAGAGAAGAGAGUCUCCUGUGCGGCUGUGCGGAUUAUACUCUUGUUUAGAUCAAAUGGUACCAUGGUACACUUCAUUCACUGAAUUAUGUUCUGUAGAGCCUUUUUGGAAGAUCAUCUAUUCGUGAUAGUCUGGAAUCACCCUACCUGCUAGAGAGAGGAAGUCAAUCUUUAGACAUUUAGAUCACCACAUGGACUUUUAACCUACAGCACCCCAAUUUCUUUAAGCUAAAAGAUUCAUUAAAUUACUUUGACUCUAUUGGCACCCCAACUAAUUUGAUCAGCUUGAUUAAGCAAAUCUUCCUUUGGUUUGGAGCUUGGUCUAGAAACAAGGAAUUGAUUAAACAAUUUAAUGAUUUGGGUCAGUUUCCUCUGUCUUCCUUUCAAGAUGUCAUCGCUCAUUGGGUGAUGUGUAUUACUUCUUUCAUUGCUCCAAUAAGACACCAGAAAGAGGCAACUGUUUUACAGAACAUUCCUGUGAACUGGAAUAUUCCAUCUGGAAAGCAGGAUCUUCAGACUCAGAAAAUAAAACUGGCCAAAGUUCAGGACACAUACAACUCACUAAUCUCAGGAAGGCCUCGAAACUUACAAAACUCACAACGUCCAUUUCUCAAGGUUACAUGAACUGCAAGGACCGCGGGGAAGAGACAAGUGCUCCCUGCACGUCAAGCUGCCCAAGAGUUGUACGAGUUGCCCCAGAAACGCAGCUUUCAUAACUUGUCACCCAUGCUAGGGUGGCCCUUGUGUUGAUGCAGCUGCCGUUAAGUCAUCCGUGCCUCUGUAAGUAACUCCUCACUUCUACUCUCUUCAGUCACCUCAAUAAGCUCACUGAUUCACUGCAACGUGUAGUCUUCCCUCCAGACGCUUGGGCCCUGCCAUUGUCUCAGCCCCCAAAUAACACACAGGAUGCUAUGUUAAUUAUAAGCUGUUGGCCGUUUGCUUGUUUUCUUACUGACUAUCUCUGACUUAAGUAGUUAGCCUAUAAUUGCUCAUCUAAGUGUUUCCAUGAGGUCUACUCUUACCGGAGGAAGGGUCCGGGCAUGUUACUUCUCUGGCAUCCUACAUCGUGACUGGCUGUGCCUCUCUUUCCCAGAAUCCUCCUCGACUCCUAGUCCCACCUAUCUUGCUUCCCUAUUGGCCAACAGUGCUUUAUUUAAUCAACCAAUAAGACAAGCACAUAUACACAGAAGGACUUCCCCCAUCAGUUCACCAAGACUUUGUUCUAUUGUUAGCUCCUUAUCAGAGGUUAAUGGAUGUUUGUUCACAUCUUUUUAGAGAAAGUCACAAAGCAAUAGCUUGGUUCAUAGUCUGAGGGGACAAAGCCCAUCACAGUAGAAUAGGCUUGGUAGUUCCUCACAUCAGGACAGAUCAGGAGGUCCAUAGAGAGCCAGGCUAUGAACCUCAAGGCUUCUCAAAAACCCAGCUCCUCCAUUAAGUACCACUUCCUGAGGUUUCAAACACAGCAUCACUGACCAGUGUUGUCCAAAUGUUUAAACCACAUGAGCCUGUGGGGACUGGUGGUAUAAUAGAUCACAUCCAAGCCAUAAUAGAGGUUAUUAGAAGUUAGGGCCCUUCGAGUGGGAAAUCUGGUCAUGAGGGUAGGACCCUCAUGAGUGGGAUUAGUGCCCUCUUGAAAGAGGGCGGAAGGAGUGUGUCUACUCUUCCUGUCAGGUGAGGACGCAUAAUUCUCCCCCCAUGAGGAAGAUACAUGAGUCUCUGAUUCUGUCGGAACCUUGAGCUCAGAUGUCUCAGCCUCAGAUUCCUGUGUAUAAGUCACUUGGUUUACUAUGAUAUUUUGUUGUAGAAACCUGAGACUCUGAGUGGGCUCCGGCAGCAGAAUUCCUUUUGUGAUGGCUGGUGGGGUGUCCUGGUUGGUUCUUAUUGUCAACUUGACACAACCCAGAGUCACCUGGGCUGGAACCUCAGCUGCAGAAUUGCCUCCAGCGUAGCAGCCUGCGGUCCUGUCUGGGAGAUGACCAACACGAGAGGACUCAGCCCCCUGUGGGUGGCACCAUCCCUAGGCAGAUAGAGUUAGGCUCUAUGAACAGCUCUAGCUGAGCAUGUCAGUCGGCCAGCAGUCAGCAAUGGUCCUCCACGGUUUCCACCUCAGUUCUGACUCGGGUUCCUCCCUUGACUUCACUCACUGAGAGACUGUGACCAGGAAGUGUAGGUUUAAAUAAAUUCUUUCUUUGCCUA